GUGGAAACGCCUUUUUCUUGCAGGAAGCAUAGUGUGGUUACAUUCGGUGACAGGACACUCAAAUUUGUCGAACGGUUUUUAACUGCACGUGUCAGACAAAAUGUAGCGCAAAGGGAAAUGCCUCUGCUAACAAUCCUAAUUACCCAGCAGUCGCGAAACAUGUCAAUACGGCUCUGCGACAUGUGAUUCGCUCGAGUGUUUGUAAACAUGCGUCAAAAGCAUGUGAUUCUGCUGACGACACACUGCGCUCAAGACGGACAGCCAAUCAGAACACGGGGGUGUGUGCCCUGGGCGGGGCCUCGCUGUUGCGCUCUGGAAAAUUCGAUGUGCGCGGCAUCAAGACACUUUAUGAUUGAAAAAUGAAGUUCAAGCCGAGACAUCGCCAACAGACAGAAUAAAGACGUUUGUUCCGUGAAUCUGGGAUGACGUGCAACCACAACACUGCAAAGAUAAACUGGAGCAGAGAGGAGGAUUAUCAUUAGACUGCGGGUUGCCGAGCACCCUGCCAGCUGACCUACCUCACUUCCCCACCUAGAUUGAGAUGUCAUACGGAGGAGCAUGCUGGGAAUUGUGAUCUGUAGUCACAAAACAGGAAGAGGAAGUCUAUGAGCCACUGAAGUGCCUUCCCAUGAUUCUACAGUCCCUCUUGUUUUCUUUUAAUCAUAAAGUCCUUUAUCAUAUCUUACCCUGCGUGUCCAUUUCUCUCAUCUGUCCGAACGUUGGAAUGACGUUACCUUAUUAGUCACGUCAUUUGUGAUGUUCAUAGAUUCAAGAUUCUUUCCGUCCCUGCCCAUAUUAUCUGAUUUAGCUGUCCUCCAACAGCCUGGAUAUUUUAAACAGGCCAAGCAAAUAGGCCGAGAUUAAAAACACGAGAAACAAAACAGCCCAGUUGUUACAUAACUGAAGCAGAGCUCUACGAUGUGCCUUUAAAAGCUGCAGGCUGUCAGGUGAUCACAGGGGCGCCGUCAUCUCAGUUCACCGAGACACCAUAGACGCAGAUGAGACACCGAAGAUAUAAAAGAGGGGGGCUGACGGGUUUCUCUAAACAGUUAGAGGAGGACAGAGGGGAGAGGAGGACACCAGAUAGACAGGAAAAGAAAGAAGCCAACUGUAAUCAAAGUGUCUCUGGCUCUCCGUCUCUCACUUUCCCACUCGUUAUGUGGAUUUCGAGACGCUGCGUUUAUGUGGUCAUAACACAGAGCGAAAAAGACCCAAGAAUUAAGUGCUGCGUCACAAUGAGCAAGAGAGGCAAACUGAGGGAGAAGGAGACAGAGGGAUCGUGGGAGCAUUUGCGGCAACUAUCUGUCUGGGUGAUCACAAUGAGCGUGUUUGUAUGCAUCUAUUAGCGAUCUAUUUAUGUAGACAUGUGUCUGUCUGAAAAAAACAGCAGCAAUUCUGCUGUUGCAACAAGAUGAAAAUAGAGCGAGCAGGAGAGGGUGGAGGUCUGGUGGAGAGAGGGAGGGAGGAAGCGAGAGAGAGAGCGGGAGAAAGAGAUUUUGGAUUAGUUGCUACGUCACUUUUUCACGUCGAGAAGAAAACAUCAGCUAGGAUUCGGACAUGUGUGCUUUUCUCCUACCUGUGAGUUUAUCCCAGCUCUUUCGUCUGCUCGUCCGCCUUUCAUCCUCCUCUUCUCCAUCUCUUUUUCUCUCCCACUU